AUUGAACGCUGGCGGCAGGCCUAACACAUGCAAGUCGAGCGGGGAUUUCGGACCUAGCGGCGUACGGGUGCGAAAUGCGUAGGAAGCUGCCCGGUGGCGGGGGAUACCAGUCGGUAACGACGGUUAAUACCGCAUAAUGUCUACGGACCAAAGUGUGGGACCUUCGGGCCACAUGCUAUUGGAUGCGCCUACGUGGGAUUAGCUAGUUGGUGAGGUAAUGGCUCACCAAGGCGACGAUCUCUAGCUGGUUUGAGAGGAUGAUCAGCCACACUGGAACUGAGACACGGUCCAGACUCCUACGGGAGGCAGCAGUGGGGAAUAUUGGACAAUGGGCGCAAGCCUGAUCCAGCCAUGCCGCGUGUGUGAAGAAGGCCUUCGGGUUGUAAAGCACUUUCAGCGAGGAGGAAGGGUGGUGUGUUAAUAGCACAUCAUUUUGACGUUACUCGCAGAAGAAGCACCGGCUAACUCUGUGCCAGCAGCCGCCGUAAGAC
rnacentral:rRNA from 1 species